GUGGGGAAUUUUGGACAAUGGGCGAAAGCCUGAUCCAGCCAUGCCGCGUGCAGGAUGAAGGCCUUCGGGUUGUAAACUGCUUUUGUACGGAACGAAAAGACUCCUUCUAAUAAAGGGGGUCCAUGACGGUACCGUAAGAAUAAGCACCGGCUAACUACGUGCCAGCAGCCGCGGUAAUACGUCGGGUGCAAGCGUUAAUCGGAAUUACUGGGCGUAAAGCGUUCGCAGGCGGUUAUAUAAGACAGAUGUGAAAUCCCCUGGCUCAACCUGGGAACUGCAUUUGUGACUGUAUAGCUAGAGGACGAUAAAGGGGGAUGGAAUUCCGCGUGUAGCAGUGAAAUGCGUAGAUAUGCGGAGGAACACCGAUGGCGAAGGCAAUCCCCUGGACCUGUACUGACGCUCAUGCACUAAAGCGUGGGGAGCAAACAGGAUUAGAUACCCCGGUAGUCC
rnacentral:rRNA from 1 species